CCUACGGGAGGCAGCAGUGGGGAAUAUUGGGCAAUGGAGGAAACUCUGACCCAGCAACGCCGCGUGAAUGAUGAAGGUCUUCGGAUUGUAAAGUUCUUUUCUAAGGGAAGAAGAAAGUGACGGUACCUUAGGAAUAAGCCUCGGCUAACUACGUGCCAGCAGCCGCGGUAAUACGUAGGAGGCGAGCGUUAUCCGGAAGGACUGGGCGUAAAGGGGGCGUAGGUGGUUUGGCAAGUUAGUAGCGAAACUCCCAGGCUCAACCUUGGAACUACUACUAAAACUGUUGGACUUGAGUGCAGGAGGGGCAACCGGAAUUCCUGGUGUAGCGGUGGAAUGCGUAGAUAUUAGGAGGAACACCAGUGGCGAAGGCGGGUUGCUAGACUGUAACUGACACUGAGGCACGAAGGCGUGGGGAGCAAACAGGAUUAGAUACCCUUGUAGUC
rnacentral:rRNA from 1 species